UCUCUGAUAGUAUAUCGGUUAGUACACGCGCCUGUCAUGGCGUUAUAUUCCUCGUGCGCGCGAAAGCUGGGUUCGACUCCCAGUCAGAGAG